GUGCCCGCUUCAGCAGCACAUGCACUAAAAUUGGAAUAAUACAGAGAAAAUUAGCAUGGCCCUUGCGCAAUGACACACAAAUUUGUGAAGCCUUCCAUAUUUUU